rnacentral:rRNA from 1 species
UACAGAGGGGGCAAGCGUUGUUCGGAAUUACUGGGCGUAAAGGGCGCGUAGGCGGCCCGCUAAGUCGAACGUGAAAUCCCCGGGCUCAACCCGGGAACUGCGUCCGAUACUGGCAGGCUUGAAUCCGGGAGAGGGAUGCGGAAUUCCAGGUGUAGCGGUGAAAUGCGCAGAUAUCGGGAGGAACACCUAUGGCGAAGGCAGCUCGCUGGGACGUUACUGACGCUGAGACGCGAAAGCGUGGGGAGCAAACAGG